CUAAGCGUACACGGUGGAUGCCCUGGCAGUCAGAGGCGAUGAAGGGCGUGCUAAUCUGCGAUAAGCGCCGGUAAGGUGAUAUGAACCGUUAUAACCGGCGAUACCCGAAUGGGGAAACCCAGUGUGACUCGUCACACUAUCAUUAACUGAAUCCAUAGGUUAAUGAGGCGAACCGGGGGAACUGAAACAUCUAAGUACCCCGAGGAAAAGAAAUCAACCGAGAUUCCCCCAGUAGCGGCGAGCGAACGGGGAGGAGCCCAGAGCCUGAAUCAGCAUGUGUGUUAGUGGAAGCGUCUGGAAAGGCGCGCGAUACAGGGUGACAGCCCCGUACACAAAAGCGCAUGUGCUGUGAGCUCGAUGAGUAGGGCGGGACACGUGGUAUCCUGUCUGAAUAUGGGGGGACCAUCCUCCAAGGCUAAAUACUCCUGACUGACCGAUAGUGAACCAGUACCGUGAGGGAAAGGCGAAAAGAACCCCGGCGAGGGGAGUGAAAAAGAACCUGAAACCGUGUACGUACAAGCAGUGGGAGCACCCUGUGUGACUGCGUACCUUUUGUAUAAUGGGUCAGCGACUUAUAUUCUGUAGCAAGGUUAACCGAAUAGGGGAGCCGGAGGGAAACCGAGUCUUAACCGGGCGUUAAGUUGCAGGGUAUAGACCCG
rnacentral:rRNA from 1 species